GACGAACGCUGGCGGCGUGCUUAACACAUGCAAGUCGAACGGAAAGGCCCUGCUUUUGUGGGGUGCUCGAGUGGCGAACGGGUGAGUAACACGUGAGUAACCUGCCCUUGACUUUGGGAUAACUUCAGGAAACUGGGGCUAAUACCGGAUAGGAGCUCCUGCUGCAUGGUGGGGGUUGGAAAGUUUCGGCGGUUGGGGAUGGACUCGCGGCUUAUCAGCUUGUUGGUGGGGUAGUGGCUUACCAAGGCUUUGACGGGUAGCCGGCCUGGGAGGGUGACCGGCGACAUGGGGACUGAGAGACGGCGCAGACUCCAACGGGAGGCAGCAGGGGGGAAUAUUGCACAAUGGGCGGAAGCGUGAUGCAGCAGCGCCGCGUGCGGGAUGACGGCCUUCGGGGUGUGAACCGCUGUCGGCUGUGACGAAGCGGGAGUGACGGUAAUGAGUAAAGAAGCACCGGCUAACUACGUG
rnacentral:rRNA from 1 species